AUAGCUCGUACUCCCCGAAAUGCAUUUAGGUGCAGCGAUAAUUUAGUUUUAUAGAGGUAGAGCUACUGAUUGGAUGCGGGGGCUUCACCGCCUACCAAUUCCUGACAAACUCCGAAUGCUAUAAAAUGAUUUUUAUCAGUGAGGGCAUGGGUGCUAAGGUCCAUGUCCGAGAGGGAAAGAACCCAGACCAUCAGCUAAGGUCCCCAAAUGUAUAUUAAGUUGAAAAAACGCGGUUGAACUGCCCAGACAGCUAGGAUGUUGGCUUGGAAGCAGCCAUUCAUUUAAAGAGUGCGUAACAGCUCACUAGUCGAGCGGUUCGGCAUGGAUAAUAAUCGGGCAUAAAUAUACUACCGAAGCUAUGGAUUUACAGAUUACUGUAAGUGGUAGGGGAGCAUUCUAAUAGGGUUGAAGGUGUACUGCGAGGUAUGCUGGACUAAUUAGAAAAGAAAAUGUAGGCAUAAGUAACGAUAAUGCGGGCGAGAAACCCGCACACCGAAAGACUAAGGUUUCCUCAGCUAUGCUAAUCAGCUGAGGGUUAGUCGGGACCUAACGCGACCCCGAAUGGGUUAGUGGAUGGACAACAGAUUAAUAUUUCUGUACCUGCCCCACGUUAAACGUGACGGAGGCGAAAAGUUAGUGCGUACUGACGGAAUAGUACGUUGAAGCCAGUGGUAACACGGCGAUAGUACACAAAAGCUUCGGCCGGCGUGAUAAUCUAGCAAAUCGACUUCCAAGAAAAGCAAGUGGUGGCAGCCCGUACCGUAAACCGACACAGGUAGUUGGGAUGAGAAUUCUAAGGUGCUCGAGAGAUUCAUGGUUAAGGAACUAGGCAAAAUCGACCCGUAACUUCGGGAGAAGGGUCGCCCAUCUUCGGAUGGGCCGCAGUGAAGAGGUCCAGGCGACUGUUUAUCAAAAACACAGGGCUCUGCUAAAUCGAAAGAUGACGUAUAGGGCCUGACACCUGCCCGGUGCUGGAAGGUUAAGAGGAGAUGUUAGCUUCGGCGACGCAUUGAAUUGAAGCCCCAGUAAACGGCGGCCGUAACUAUAACGGUCCUAAGGUAGCGAAAUUCCUUGUCGGGUAAGUUCCGACCUGCACGAAUGGUGCAACGAUCUGGACACUGUCUCAACCAUGAGCUCGGUGAAAUUGUAGUAUCGGUGAAGAUGCCGAUUACCCGCUGUGGGACGAAAAGACCCCGUGCACCUUUACUAUAGCUUAGUAUUGACUUUGGACAAGUGAUGUGUAGGAUAGGUGGGAGACGUUGAAGCUGCAUCGCUAGGUGUGGUGGAGUCAUUGUUGAAAUACCACCCUUUACUUGUUUGAAGCCUAACUUCCAAUGGAAGGACAAUGCUUGGUGGGUAGUUUGACUGGGGUGGUCGCCUCCAAAAGAGUAACGGAGGCUUCUAAAGGUUCCCUCAGCACGCUUGGUAACCGUGCGUAGAGUGCAAUGGCAUAAGGGAGCUUGACUGAGAGACAUACAGGUCGAUCAGGUACGAAAGUAGAGCAUAGUGAUCCGGUGGUUCCGCAUGGAAGGGCCAUCGCUCAAAGGAUAAAAGGUACGCCGGGGAUAACAGGCUGAUCUCCCCCAAGAGCUCACAUCGACGGGGGGGUUUGGCACCUCGAUGUCGGCUCGUCACAUCCUGGGGCUGGAGAAGGUCCCAAGGGUUGGGCUGUUCGCCCAUUAAAGUGGCACGCGAGCUGGGUUCAGAACGUCGUGAGACAGUUCGGUCUCUAUCUACAGUGGGCGUUAGAAAUUUGAGUGGAUCUGACUCUAGUACGAGAGGACCGAGUUGGACGAACCUCUGGUGCACCAGUUGUCACGCCAGUGGCAUUGCUGGGUAGCUACGUUCGGAAGGGAUAAGCGCUGAAAGCAUAUAAGCGCGAAACCCACCACAAGAUGAGAUUUCUUUAAAGGACCGUGGGAGACUACCACGUUGAUAGGCCAUAGGUGUAAAGGCAGUAAUGUCAUAGCCGAGUGGUACUAAUAAUCCGUAAAGCUUAGUGCA
rnacentral:rRNA from 1 species